UACAGAGGUGGCGAGCGUUGUUCGGAUUUACUGGGCGUAAAGGGUGCGUAGGUGGUUUUGCGUGUCGGACGUGAAAGCCCACUGCUUAACGGUGGAACGGCGUUCGAAACUGCAGAGCUUGAGUUCAGGAGAGGAGAGCGGAAUUCUCGGUGUAGCGGUGGAAUGCGUUGAUAUCGAGAAGAACACCGGUGGCGUAGGCGGCUCUCUGGAAUGACACUGACACUGAGGCACGAAAGCGUGGGGAGCAAACAGG
rnacentral:rRNA from 1 species